rnacentral:rRNA from 1 species
UGGGGAAUAUUGCACAAUGGGGGAAACCCUGAUGCAGCGACGCCGCGUGAAGGAAGAAGUAUCUCGGUAUGUAAACUUCUAUCAGCAGGGAAGAAAAUGACGGUACCUGACUAAGAAGCCCCGGCUAACUACGUGCCAGCAGCCGCGGUAAUACGUAGGGGGCAAGCGUUAUCCGGAUUUACUGGGUGUAAAGGGAGCGUAGACGGAGCAGCAAGUCUGAUGUGAAAGCCCGGGGCUCAACCCCGGGACUGCUUUGGAAACUGUCAGGCUAGAGUGCUGGAGAGGUAAGUGGAAUUCCUAGUGUAGCGGUGAAAUGCGUAGAUAUUAGGAGGAACACCAGUGGCGAAGGCGGCUUACUGGACGGUAACUGACGUUGAGGCUCGAAAGCGUGGGGAGCAAACAGGAUUAGAUACCC